CAAUAGCGUAUAUUAAAGUUGUUGCAGUUAAAAAGCUCGUAGUUGGAUUUCUGAAUCGAAUGUCCGGUCGGCUUACUAAGUAAGCUCGUACGGGUGAUAUUUGUUUCAUUUUUUGUGAGGAAAUUUAUCUGUCAUUAAGUUGAUGGGUUUACGGACUUGCAUCGUUUACUGUGAAAAAAUUAGAGUGUUUAAAGCAGGCGUUUGCCUUGAAUACAUUAGCAUGGAAUAAUAAGAUAUGACUUUGGUGGUCUAUUUUGUUGGUUUGCACACCAGAGUAAUGAUUAAUAGGGACAGUUGGGGGUAUUCAUAUUUCAGCGUCAGAGGUGAAAUUCUUAGAUCGCUGAAAGAUGAGCUUAGGCGAAAGCAUUUACCAAGGAUGUUUUCAUUAA
rnacentral:rRNA from 1 species